AUUCCAUGUUGAGGACACUUUCUGAGUGAUCCUUUGAAUUGUUCCCAAGCCUCGUACAGAGAUUCGCUUUCUUUUUGUUCAAAAGCGGUGAUUUUUGCUUUGAGUCU